GAUGAACGCUGGCGGCGUGCUUAACACAUGCAAGUCGAGCGAAGCGAUCUUGAUGAAGUUUUCGGAUGGAUUUUAAGAUGACUGAGUGGCGGACGGGUGAGUAACACGUGGAUAACCUGCCUCACACUGGGGGACAACAGUUAGAAAUGACUGCUAAUACCGCAUAAGCGCACAGUACCGCAUGGUACAGUGUGAAAAACUCCGGUGGUGUGAGAUGGAUCCGCGUCUGAUUAGCCAGUUGGCGGGGUAACGGCCCACCAAAGCGACGAUCAGUAGCCGACCUGAGAGGGUGACCGGCCACAUUGGGACUGAGACACGGCCCAAACUCCUACGGGAGCA
rnacentral:rRNA from 1 species